GGAAGUAAAAUCGUAACAAGGUUUCCGUAGGUGAACCUGCGGAAGGAUCAUUAUCGUACCAAAUGUGUCAGGCAUGCUCGGGCUGUUGCUGACUCAAAAAGUCGUGCACGCUGGAGGGUGUCCUCUCACAUAAUAACCCAUCUCACCCUUUGUGCAUCACCGCGUGGGCACCCUUUGGGAUCGGACCGAUCUCGGAAGGGGGCCCGCGUUUUCACACAAACCCCCCCAUUUAAAAGUGUAGAAUGUCCUCAUUUAUGCAAUAAAUACAACUUUCAACAACGGAUCUCUUGGCUCUC
rnacentral:misc_RNA from 1 species